ACUCACUAAAGUGUGGGAGCCCCACUAUGACUGGGUUCCCCUGGAGUUUUUAACGGUCAGGAUUGUCCACACUGAGCCUCCAGCAAUUAGACAAUUCCAGUUCAGGUUUUCCUGCUCCGGCACUGGUUCCCUUGCCAGUUUCUGCCCGCCAGACUCUGCUCAGAAACACGGACAAGAACUACGGAGAAGGGACUUCCCUGGUGGCACAGUGGUUAAGAAUCCGCCAGCCAAUACAGGGUACACGGGUUUGAGCCCUGUUCCGGAAAGAUCCCACAUGCCGCGGAGCAACUAAGCCCGUGUGCCACAACUACUGAGCCUGCAUUCUAGGGCCCGUGAGCGACAGCUACUGAGCCCUCAUGCCUCAACUACUGAAGCCCGUGUGCCUAGAGUCUGUGCUCCACAACAAGAGAAGCCACUGCAAUGAGAAGCCCGCUCAUCACAAUGAAGAGCAGCCCCCACUCCCCGCAUCUAGAGAAAACCUGCACACAGCAACAAAGACUGGACAAGGCCAAAAAUUUUUAAAAAUUAAUUAAAAAAAUGAUUCUGGUUCAAAAGAAAAAUGCAUAUACAAAGCUUAAAAAGAAAAUGAUGAAGGAGCUGUUUUCCAAACCUCAUGCACAGAGAAGAGAAUCUGUAUGAAGCAAGGGAUGGAUGGGAGGUGUCUUGCUUACAUCUCUAUUCAAGGAAGACUUCUGCAGGAAGGAUAGCUUGUUGACAGCCUCCAGCUUCCCCAAGAUUGGCCAAUGUGUUCUUACCAGACUGCUUCCCCAGUGACUAAGCACUAUGACGUACUAGAAUCACUAUAUUCCUGCCCACCCCUAGAUUCCUAGAAUCCCUGUAAUGGUAGACUUUGCUUAGGGAGUCUGAUUACCUAGUCAGUUAGCUAGCAACCUCUCUCUCUCUUUUUCAGAUAUAUAUAUAAUCGCUAUUGGGAUCAUGGGUAAAUUUUUGUUUCUUUCACCCUGCUUUGCUUAUGUGUAUAUUAUUUUUUUUUCUGCAAAUACAUGUGCUACUUCAAGGACUUAUAAUAUUGUUGGAAAUCAUCAAGAAUAACACAUUUUGUGAUCUGUUUGAAAGGAAUAAAUGAUUUCACCCACCUACA